rnacentral:rRNA from 1 species
UAAGCGGUUGAAGGUGUGUGGUAACGCAUGCUGGACGUAUCAGAAGUGCGAAUGCUGACAUGAGUAACGAUAAAGGGGGUGAAAAACCUCCUCGCCGGAAGACCAAGGGUUCCUGUCCAACGUUAAUCGGGGCAGGGUAAGUCGACCCCUAAGGCGAGGCCGAAAGGCGUAGUCGAUGGGAAACGGGUUAAUAUUCCCGUACUUCUUACAAUUGCGAUGGGGGGACGGAGAAGGCUAGGUGGGCCUGGCGACGGUUGUCCAGGUUCAAGUGCGUAGGCUUGAGAGUUAGGUAAAUCCGGCUCUCUUUAAGGCUGAGACACGACGUCGAGCACCUACGGGUGUGAAGUCAUUGAUGCCAUGCUUCCAGGAAAAGCCUCUAAGCUUCAGAUUGUAAGGAAUCGUACCCCAAACCGACACAGGUGGUCGGGUAGAGAAUACCAAGGCGCUUGAGAGAACUCGGGUGAAGGAACUAGGCAAAAUGGUACCGUAACUUCGGGAGAAGGUACGCUCUUGAUGGUGAAGUCCCUCGCGGAUGGAGCUGACGAGAGUCGCAGAUACCAGGUGGCUGCAACUGUUUAUUAAAAACACAGCACUGUGCAAAAUCGUAAGAUGACGUAUACGGUGUGACGCCUGCCCGGUGCCGGAAGGUUAAUUGAUGGGGUUAGACUUCGGUCGAAGCUCUUGAUCGAAGCCCCGGUAAACGGCGGCCGUAACUAUAACGGUCCUAAGGUAGCGAAAUUCCUUGUCGGGUAAGUUCCGACCUGCACGAAUGGCGUAAUGAUGGCCACGCUGUCUCCACCCGAGACUCAGUGAAAUUGAAAUCGCUGUGAAGAUGCAGUGUACCCGCGGCUAGACGGAAAGACCCCGUGAACCUUUACUACAGCUUGGCACUGAACAUUGACCCUACAUGUGUAGGAUAGGUGGGAGGCUUUGAAGCACGUACGCCAGUAUGUGUGGAGCCGUCCUUGAAAUACCACCCUUGUAGUGUU